CUAGUACUCCCUCCGUCCGAAAAUACUUGUCAUCAAAAUGGACAAAAAAAGGAUGUAUCUAAAACUAAAAUACAUCUAGAUACAUCUCUUUUUAUUCAUUUUGGUGACAAGUAUUUCCGGACGGAGGGAGUAUGUG
rfam:Triticum urartu cultivar G1812 contig482291, whole genome shotgun sequence.